rnacentral:rRNA from 1 species
GUAGGUGGCAAGCGUUGUCCGGAAUUAUUGGGCGUAAAGCGCGCGCAGGUGGUUCUUUAAGUCUGAUGUGAAAGCCCCCGGCUCAACCGGGGAGGGUCAUUGGAAACUGGGGAACUUGAGUGCAGGAGAGGAAAGUGGAAUUCCACGUGUAGCGGUGAAAUGCGUAGAUAUGUGGAGGAACACCAGUGGCGAAGGCGACUUUCUGGCCUGUAAUUGACACUGAGGCGCGAAAGCGUGGGGAGCAAACAGGGAUUAGAUACCCUGGUAGUCCACGCCGUAAACGAUGAGUGCUAAGUGUUGGGGGGGUUUCCCGCCCCUCAGUGCUGCAGCUAACGCAUUAAGCACUCCGCCUGGGGAGUACGGUCGCAAGACUG